rnacentral:rRNA from 1 species
AGUGAACGCUGGCGGUAGGCCUAACACAUGCAAGUCGAACGGCAGCACAGUAAGAGCUUGCUCUUACGGGUGGCGAGUGGCGGACGGGUGAGGAAUACAUCGGAAUCUACUUUUUCGUGGGGGAUAACGUAGGGAAACUUACGCUAAUACCGCAUACGACCUACGGGUGAAAGCAGGGGAUCUUCGGACCUUGCGCGAUUGAAUGAGCCGAUGUCGGAUUAGCUAGUUGGCGGGGUAAAGGCCCACCAAGGCGACGAUCCGUAGCUGGUCUGAGAAGAUGAACAGCCACACUGGGACUGAGACACGGUCCAGACUCCUACGGGAGGCAGCAGUGGGGAAUAUUGGACAAUGGGCGCAAGCCUGAUCCAGCAAUACCGCGUGGGUGAAGAAGGCCUUCGGGUUGUAAAGCCCUUUUGUUGGGAAAGAAAAGCAGCAGGUUAAUACCCCGCUGUUCUGACGGUACCCAAAGAAUAAGCACCGGCUAACUUCGUG